rnacentral:rRNA from 1 species
UACGAAUGGGGCAAGCGUUGUUCGGAAUCACUGGGCUUAAAGCGUGCGUAGGCGGCUAUGAAAGUCAGAAGUGAAAUCCCAGGGCUUAACCCUGGAAUUGCUUUUGAAACUCCAUAGCUAGAAUCCGGGAGAGGUUAGUAGAAUUCCGAGUGUAGAGGUGAAAUUCGCAGAUAUUCGGAGGAAUACCAGUGGCGUAGGCGGCUAACUGGACCGGCAUUGACGCUGAGGUACGAAAGCGUGGGUAGCAAAC